AAUUCAGUGAAUCAUCGAAUCUUUGAACGCAAAUGGCGCUCUUGGGUUCUCCCAGGAGCAUGUCUGUCUGAGUGUCGGUU
rnacentral:rRNA from 6 species